rnacentral:misc_RNA from 1 species
CACCAGAAGCUUGUUGGGGCAUCAGCUGUCCAUGAGGACACCUUAUUGAAGCUGUUGGUCCAGCAUCAGCUUCACAAGGAGAGUCUACAUUUUUCCUUCGGAGCCACUGUUGUAACCAUGGCUUUGAUAUGUAGUACAACUUCUCAUCUACACAAUCACCCGCAAGGGCUGCUUCUGCAAGUUCUUUCAUUAAUGUUCUUCGAUCCCGGUAGUUAUCUGCAAGGGCCAUUGACUGAGCCUCUCUAAAGAGGCAGUCAAUGCAGUAAUCAUCCUUGGCCAGCACUGGUCCUCCACCAUACUUAGAGAAUAGCAUGGUCCAAGCUUCACUAGACAG